rnacentral:rRNA from 1 species
CGUUGUCCGGAAUUAUUGGGCGUAAAGAGCUCGUAGGCGGUGUGUCGCGUCGGCCGUGAAAACCUGCAGCUUAACUGUGGGCUUGCGGUCGAUACGGGCAUCACUGGAGUUCGGCAGGGGAGACUGGAAUUCCUGGUGUAGCGGUGAAAUGCGCAGAUAUCAGGAGGAACACCGGUGGCGAAGGCGGGUCUCUGGGCCAAUACUGACGCUGAGGAGCGAAAGCGUGGGGAGCGAACAGG